AAUAUGAACCUCUACAUAAAAGGGUUUGCCAUAAUCUCCACGCUUAGCAGGUUCGAACUGGCGCACAGAAAUCCGCUUUGUGUUUUUUGGUGUGAAAAUGAAGUUUGAAUAUAGAUUGACAUUCGGUUUGUGGUUCCGUCGAAAUGAUUCGACGCGACAGGGGCUAACGAGAAACAUCAGACCACUCCGAACGAAAUUCAAUUACUCUCUGCAAUCCUGGGGCCACUUAUUGUUUUCGAUUUUUGUCACAGUGUUUAUUGAAACUGCAGUUAAGUCUGUUUGUAAAAAUACAGGAUUGAAAUAGAA